GUUGUAGCUUAGUGGUAGAGCACUUGCCUAGCAUGUAUGAGGCACUGGGUUUGAUCCUCAGCACCACA
rnacentral:tRNA from 1 species